UACGAAGGGUGCAAGCGUUACUCGGAAUUACUGGGCGUAAAGCGUGCGUAGGUGGUUCGUUAAGUCUGAUGUGAAAGCCCUGGGCUCAACCUGGGAAUGGCAUUGGAAACUGGCGAUCUAGAGUCCGGAAGAGGCGAGUGGAAUUCCCGGUGUAGCGGUGAAAUGCGCAGAUAUCGGGAGGAACACCAAUGGCGAAGGCAGCUCGCUGGGACGGUACUGACGCUGAGACGCGAAAGCGUGGGGAGCAAACAGG
rnacentral:rRNA from 1 species